CCUACGGGAGGCUGCAGUAAGGAAUAUUGGUCAAUGGGCGCGAGCCUGAACCAGCCAAGUAGCGUGAAGGAUGACUGCCCUACGGGUUGUAAACUUCUUUUAUAAAGGAAUACAGUGAGUCACGUAUCCCUUUUUGCCUGUACUUUAUGAAUAAGGAUCGGCUAACUCCGUGCCAGCAGCCGCGGUAAUACGGAGGAUCCGAGCGUUAUCCGGAUUUAUUGGGUUUAAAGGGAGCGUAGAGGGGUUGUUAAGUCAGUUGUGAAAGUUUGCGGCUCAACCGGAAAAUUGCAAUGGAUACUGGCAGUCUUGAGUGCAGUUGAGGUAGGCGGAAUUCGUGGUGUAGCGGUGAAAUGCUUAGAUAUCACGAAGAACUCCGAUUGCGAAGGCAGCUUACUAAUCUGCCACUGACACUGAGGCUCGAAAGCGUGGGUAUCAAACAGGAUUAGAUACCCGGGUAGUC
rnacentral:rRNA from 1 species